GGGUCUAUGGCCUAAUGGAUAAGGCGUCUGCCUCCUAAGCAGUAGAUUCCGGGUUCGAGUCCCGGUAGACCUA